CUGUUUUAGAAAACCUGCGAGCUGAGAGAGAAAUGAUGGGCAGUUGGACCCAAAAUAAAACUGCAGCGGUUUCUUUUAAGUUUAUGAGACGUCUUGACUGCGCCCCAUUCCAACUUCAUUCCGAGAAAAAGGAUUUGUUUAUUAGCAACACCUUCAGAAGAAACUGUUCUUUGUACACAAAUGCAUUUGACAAGUUAAAAUCAAAAAGCUUUGAUUCAAAGAUUAAAUUUCUGGUUACAAAAACUAUUUUAGUCAGUUAAAAACUGAAUUUUUACAUCAAGAAUCUGAAUCUUAUUUCUGCAUUUGACAUUAAACAAAUUCUUAAAGGGAAUUAUUAAUGUCAACACAUUGAAUUUUAACUUGUUAAAUCUUAAUUUUUAACCUCAGACAGCCGUUACUAUAUUAGUAUUAUUAUCAACAUGAGUUUGUUGGAAAAGUUGGAUUUGAAUAAACGUGUUUUUUUUUUUUCUCCAAUUGGUUAUUCUCCAAUUUAUCUCAUACUUAGUUCUGUGUCAGUAAACGCACCAAAAAACAUGC